UAGUCUGAGUGGAGAGAAACCCCGGACCCGUCAGUCCCCAGGUAGCUCCAGUGAAUGGCAUUUACAACAACCACACAACUGCUGAGACCAUUUGACUCCCUUAGUCUCCUGAGUUCCCUGGGAGCAAUGGACCCCGUCACUUGCAGCCAUGGGCCCUAAGCUGUUGAUGUAAUAACUUAGCGUCCGGUGGCAGAGGUGAGGUGAUGUAACCAGGAGGCUGUGCUGGGGCUCAUGGGAAGAACCAGUUUUGCUCCCUAGCAGAUGGCUUCUCGUGCUGCUGUUACUUAACGUUUAUAUCCUGUGCAGGCUGAGUCCCCUCAACUUCAUAGCACAGAGCCUUCUGCAUAAAAUUCUAGAGAAAGUGAGUCAUGUCAGGUAUCCAGCAUGAAGACCCAGGCGGAGGGCAGCCAUCAGCGAAUCGGGUGCAGACUGAAGUCCUGGUCCCUCCCACUGCCCUGUCAUCCCUGCCUCAGGUGCUCCCUGAGAGCCAGCCGCAGGACCCUGCACAGGGGCUGCAAAGCUGCCUCGGUUUAUAAAGACUGAGCUGGCUGCUCAAGUCACAGAGUCCCUCCCACUAGAAGUGGAAGAGUCUACUCCUAACUGAAAACCCGAAUGAAUGAAUCAAGGACAGUGCGUCACAUCGGCAGAUCUCGAGGAACGAUUUCUGUUGGAGGGAAAAGAAGUUGGUUAUUGUGUUGCCUGAAAGAAGCAUCUCGCAUGAUCUUACACGAAUGCUGAAGGAACUUACCGGUACGUCUGCAUCGCCUGUCAAUUAACCAAAUAAAACAGGUCGCCUAUCAAUUAACCAAAUAAAACAGGUCUGAGCCUCC